AUAUGGUCGACCUGCAGGCGGCCGCGAAUUCACUAGUGAUUCGUAUUACCGCGGCUGCUGGCACGUGAUUAGCGGGGGCUUCUUUACAAGCUUAACUCAACGCAACCAUUUGUUCGAUAGCUGCGAUUUGCUCACUUGCGAAAGCGGUUUACAACCCAUAGGGCCUUCAUCCCGCACGCGGCGUCGCUCGGUCAGACUUUCGUCCAUUGCCGAAUAUUCCGAACUGCAGCCACCCGUAGGUGUCCGGCCAGUGUCUCAGUGCCGAUGUGCCCGAUCAGCCUCUCAGCCCGGGUACCCGUCGCAGCCUUGGUGGGCCAUUACCCCGCCAACUAGCUGGUAGGAAGCAGACCGAUCCUUGAGCGCUAGGUCCGAAGAUCCCCAGCCUUUGACCUCUGUGCGUUUCCACACUGUGGUCUUAUCGGGAAUUAGCGUCCCUUUCGGAACGUUUUGCCCAUCUAUAGGGUACGUUAUCUACCCAUUCCUCACCCUUCCGCCACUUUACAACACGUAUUGCUACGUGCUUCUAGUGCGACUUGCAUGCCUCAACCACGCCGCCAACGUUCGUUCUGAGCCAUGAUCAAACUCUAAUCGAAUUCCCGCG
rnacentral:rRNA from 1 species